CAUGAUUCAUCUAUUACAGCAUAUCCUGAUCCUAUAUAAUAGGGCAGGUGAUUUAAAAAGGGUGGUCGUGGGAGGCAUUUCUGAGGAUGUGACAUUUCAGUUGAGCUAUGCAGGGUAAGUAGGAAUCAGCUAAGUAAAGAGAGAGGGAGAACAUUCCAGGCUGAGAGCAUGUGCUCUCUGAGCUCUGAGGUGGGAAUGAACUGGAUAGAAUCAAGAAACUAAAAACAGGCCAGCAUGGCUGGAACAUGGAGGGAAAGGCUUUAGGUUGAGAUGAUGUGGAGGGGAGGGUAGAGGCCGGCCGAGCUUGCUCCAGAGCAAACCCUGCUGCAGCAGAAGCUUUAUUUGAAAGAAUAAUUAUAGCUCUAAUUCAUAAGGACUCUAGCUAAUUGCAUCUACUAUGAGAUAAGCCUGGGUGGGUGGGACUCACAGAAAAAUGGGGAAGUAGCAGGUGACAUGGGUAAGUGACCUCACACAUUGAGGACUGUGAUGAACCUAAGUUCAGAGUGCCCUGUGGGUCUUACAUAGGGAGCAGGGGUGGGAGCCAGGAGCCAGCAGGAAGAAGGGUGAGCAGAGGUGCCAGAUGAUGAGGAAAGAGGGUCUUCCCCAUGGAGGGAAGGCUCUGAGUGGCCCAGAAGGACCACUCCCAUCGUGUGUAUGGAGUUUAGGGUGGGGACUUGGAGCUGCUGCAGGAGUCCAGACAAAUGUGAAAAAGACCCAGGCAACAGCAAUGGAGCUGCCCAUCUGUCAAGGACUCAGACUAUCAGGCAAGCUGGUGAGGGGGCCUGCAGGCAAGGAAUGCUUCCUCUGACAGGGGAGUCCUUCACUGUCGGCGGCUUCGCCUCGGUGGGUUAAUAAAGCCAUCCAUCACCCUUCUCCAUGCCAGGUAUCUAAAUGCCUGCUUAAUACCACCCUGGGGGGUGGGAGUCUGCAUCAGGGAUGCUCAGCACCUGGGGGCCAGGGUGCUGGUAUGUCAGGAACUGCCUCGUGGUUUGGAGCCUUGGUGCAAUCCAGAUGCAAACUCAGCUCAGGGUCUCCCUCUGCCUGGCUGGCUUGGGUAUGGGAUCACGCAGCUUGGGAGGCUGUGAUCUGACAAACAGCACCGAAGCACACUUGGAGUAGACACACUGAAGUUCCUGUUUGCCAUUUUACUGCUUGCAGAGGACAGAUGUCAGAGUAGAAACAGGUAUUUGCUACCCAGAACUUCCACGCUGCUGUCCCAUGCAUCUGCCUCUGACACAGUUUCGGAAUGUGCAGGCUUCAUGAGAGCACCACUAAGCACACACGUCUGGCUGUUCAGAGAAAGACGUUUGAAAACCACUGGUAGUUGCUUUGAUGCCUGUGGGAGUUUAAUGAGUUUGGGCUCCUGGAGAGGAAGUGAGCAUCAAUCAAACUACAGGCUCUUGCUUAUUGAGCACUCACUAUGUGCACUUCUUUGCCUUUACUAUGCGAGGAACUGGGUGCAAUUAUUAUUGCCAUUGCGCAGAUGGCAAGACUGAGGUCCAAAGAAGUGAGUUGUGUAUGAUAACACAGCAAGAAAACACAGAGCUGUAAUUUGAACCCAGGUUCAUCAGACUCUGGAGCCUCACUCUUAUCUGGGCACAGUUUGCUGGCUUCACAGGCUAAGUAAUCACCUUCGCAGUGUACCUAAAAUCCUCCCAACAACUCCGUCAAUCAGUGUUAUUGCCUCUAUUUUAUCUGUGAAGAGAAGGAAUUCAGAGAGGUGGUGGGAGCAGUGCAAGGUCACAGGGCCAGGAGGCUCAGAGCUGGGAUUCAACACAGUUCUAUAUGACUCCCAACCUGUAUUAUUAUUUUUCCCCCACCAGGAUAGUGUGUUUUCAAACCUUUUAAGCCACAAACCCCUCCUUCCUCCAAAAAAAGAAAUCUGAUGUGGGAUUCUGAUAUAAAGGGCAGAUGAAAGAGGGCACCACUCUGGUUAAGUGGGGACCCUGUUCUGGUUAUAUAUUGCCACAUAACAAAUCAUCCCAAAGUGUAGGGGCCUAAAACACAACACUCAUUUAUAAUCUGUCAAAGUUUUGUGAAUCAGGAACUUGGAUGGGGCACAGUGGGGAUAGGUUGCCUCUGCUCCAUGAUGUCUGUUGGAAGACUGGAAUAUGGGCUGGAAUCACUCACAAGUAUGGCAGAAGGUGCUGGCUGUCAGUUCUCCUUCAUAGGGUCUCUCUGUGUGAGCUAGUUGGGCUUCCUCACAGCAUGGUGGUUGGGUUGUAAUGGCACAGGUAGAAGCAUUGCCUUUCACAACCUGGCCCUGGAAGUCAUGUGAUAUCACUUCCCAUCUAGGUUUAAGAGUAGUGGAAAAAUACUGAAUGAGUGCAUGGGGCUGAAAAUAUUGCUGGGCUAGGAAUGAACAUACCUGGCCGGGGGGCUCGGGAGUGCUGAGGAGCUUCUUCCUCAGUUAGUCCUCACAUUCUGGCUCUCCCGGUUUACCUCUCCGCAACUCCUAGUACCUUUCAGCUGUUUCCUGCUUUGCGGUGGGGGUAGAAGCUUCUGCUUGGUUGGGCCCGUUUCUCCUCCUGGUGGCACCCCCUCCUGGCCAGCUCAAAAUUAGCCCCCAUCUCCAGCUCCUUCAGGGACCUCACAGGCCCAAUCCGUCUACCUCCCUCUUACUCAAUUUUUGACCAGCUGCUGUAUUAGUUGAGAUAAUUCUGUCAAUGCAUGCCUUUUGUACCCAGAACGUGCCUGGUAAAUUUGUUAAAGAAUACCCCAGGCUAACACAUCAUUACACUUCCAAACUCAUCUAUCUUUUACUUCGGAUUAAUUCCUUUUUUCCCUCUCUCUUCACCUCCUCCAUAAAUCCUGGUGCACUUAAUUAAUUUCAGUUCCACUAUAAGGUCCAUAAUACAGAAUUGUUCAAGCAAACACAAAAUUAAUUAUUCUAUUUACAGCCUUCUCAUUGAGAGGAGCAUUUCAUCUUUCAUAAUUACAUUUUGGAACGUCCAAUUAUGAAUUCAGGCGCCUGCUGUUUUGCAUAAGGGGACAGUCCCCGAGUGUCCUCGAGGUAGAGGAGUCGGGCUGGUGGCCUCUUGUGCCGUCUGCCACUGACUCAGGCACUGCUGGUUCAGUCCCUGAAAGGCCUUUUAAGGAGACAUUGAGGGAGGGGCAGGAUGGGAAGGUCUGGAAGAGAGUGGAGCCCAGAGAUGGGGUGAAGAGAAGGAGGAGGAGGUAAGAAGGGAAGAGGAAGGGUGGGGGAUGUGCCAAUUUAACUGAGAACCUAUCAUGAUUAAGAGCUUUUCAAAGGGGACGAAACAGACUUCUUCAUCUUACCAGGUUGCAGGGAAGAUUCCUGCUUUUCUGCAAAUCAGUGGUCCAGGCACAUGGGCCCCAUCUUAUGCCUGGACUUUGCUCUGGUCUCAGAUGUAAGCCCUGGAAGUCCGGGCUCUCUUCUUUCACUCUGACUUUGGGCCAUAGAGGACCACUUUGGUGGCAUGAGUCUCACCAAGCCAUUGGGAUUUCAGCCAGGACACUUUCAGCUUAGUGGGAAAGCCACUCUCUCUCCUCCCUAACUGAUGGUCUCCACCUCUCAAAGCUUAUGGGCCAGCAACACCUUUUAGAUGGGAAUGGAACAGACACCAGCUCUCUGUUCAGGGCCCUGCUCCAGAUGCCCUGGGGUAGGCUCCAGAAGGCAGCUACUUGACUGCACCAUGGUGCUUGACCCACUGGAGUUCUAAGAUAGUACAAGAACCCCUGUUUAAAGUUUUUUUUGUUUUGUUUUUAAUUAGUUUUCAUCUGACCCACUUUUAGAUAAAAUUAACAUAUUUGUUUAAAAAUAAGUCAAAUAAUUUCUUUAAAAAUUUUAUUAAAAUAAGGUCUGUUUUGUAAAGUAGGUGUGUUCUGCCGAUCCCCAGAGGGGAAUGGCUUCCUUCUUCCUUACCAUCCCCUGCACACCUCACUUCAAAGCCAAUGGAAUUUCACCUUAACAUAAAUAGAAGUGUUCAUUUUCUUAAAAAAAAAAUCUAUUGAGUUCCUGCUAAGUGCUAGACAUCACACUGGGCACUGCGUGUUAGGGACUUUGUAUAUGUUGCCUAUUUAGCUCUAUGACAGCCACCUGAUAUCCUUCAGUGGGGACUGCCUGACACUCGGGAACCUCAUCUCAAACAGGUGUGUGCAAGUGACCAUAGGAGAGUUGAGUUCCAGGCCUGAGUGGGCUGUGAAAUCUCAGGGAAAAAACUUACACUGUGGAUACUGUAGGGUGUAGUGGCAAGAGCUUGACUCUGGAUUCAGACUGCCCAUGUUUGAAUCCCCACUCUGGUACUUGCCAACUGUGGGAUCUUAGGCAAAUCACUUAACUUCCCUGUUCCUCAGUUGCCUCAUGUGUUAAAUUGGGAUACUACUACUGCCUCACUGGGCUGUUGUGAGGUUUCUACAAGAUUAUGUGUGUAAAAUCCUGGCUCAUACUGGAUGGGUACUCACUUAGUGAUUGUGUCUCAGUUUCUCCAUCUGUUGAAUCUGUAAAGUUUGAGUAGCUAAGUGAGAGUGAUGCAUUUUGGAAAUGAGUGCUCUGCCAUCAUUCCCAAAGGCUGGUACCUGAGGCAUGCAAGGACUUCCAGGGUGGGGCAGGGAUUCACACUGAGGGAUGCAAAAGGCCCUGAGCACCCACUGCCCCUCCACUUACAUUUGUAUCCUGUCACUCUUGAUUAACCCCCUCCAACAGUUUCCCAGUUCACUUAGAAUAAAAACAUAAUAUUUCUGGUGGCCUAUAAGGCCAACCAGGUCCCAUUUCUGUCUGCUCUCCAAGUUUCCUACUUCCUACUUUCCUCUUCAUUGUCUAUGCUCCAGUUACACUGGUCUCUGUUCCUUGGACUGUUGGCAUCUUUCCCACCUUAGGGUCUUUGCACCAGCCAUUUCCCCUGCCAUGCACAUUCUUUCCCCAGUUCUUAGCAUGACUGGCUCAGUUUAAAUGUCAUCUCUUCAGAGAACCUUCCCUGAUCAUCCUACCUGUAAAGCAGCCCUUAGCCCAGUCCUCCUCCUCACAUUACCCUGUUUGUUGUCUUCAUAGCCCCAAUCACGAUCUGAAAUAUCUUGUUUGUUUUCUUGUGUAUUGUCUGUCUUCAAACCCCUUGAAUAUAAAGACCCAAGAAAGCAGGAGUCAUGACUGUCUUGCCCAAUUCUCUAACCCUUGAUUUGUGGUGGGUGCACAAUAAAUAUUUUUUAAGUGAACAAUUUACCUCCAUCUCCAAUGCGACUACAGCAAGCCUGGAAAAAUGAAGAUUUAGGAAUGUCUUCGUUUGUGAUUGGCUGUAGGGGAAAUGGACCAGGCUUAAUUUUUCCUUUAAAUCAAUUUUCUGAUCUUGAGGAGGCUUCCUUCAUCCUAACAAACCCUCAAGAUGGGGGAGAGCCAUUGAUUUAUCUCAUAAGUGAUUUUUUUCCAGACCUGCCCACACCGAAUAAUUACUUGCUUUUGUGGGCUGAGAAUGUCUUUCUGCUGUUCCACCUGGUAGGUUUGUUUUGUUUGUUAAUUAGCUAUUAAUUGCAAGGGCUCCUAGGAUCUGGAGGUGAAGGGGAGGCCCCAGAGGUGGGUCAGGGGGUCUUGGGUAAGCUAGGACCCCAGACUGGAAUGAGGGUGACCUCACUGGGCACUGGGCUAAUUUAUUUCAAAUGGUGUCAUGUCUGGGUAGUCAGUGAGCUCCCGGGAUGAUGAGUGAUUUUGCUAAUUAAGUCCCAUAAACACUACAGCUUAAUUUUCAGCAGUGGGGCUGCAGCUGGUGGAUGGGAGCCGCCGGCAGCUGCGACAGAGGCUGUCCUUGAAGGAAUAGGCCACGGACGGAUGGUGGGAAGGCUGAGAGGGAAGAAGGGGUGUUCAAAGGCAGGGACCUCACCCUGGGUGCAUUCUUUCCUUCCUCAUCCCUUUGUCCCUUUGCUGUCUCUCUAGGCCAGUCCCUGCCCAUGGGAAUAUCCCAGGCUGGUGAAGAGAUAAUGCCUAUAAGUGAAUUGAAGGGAGUUUCUGGAACAUAAUCCCCAUGCUUCCAUAGGGCCAAUCUGGAAACUUCCAUCACUGUUUUUCAUCUUCCUUGACUUCACCUCCUCUAGACCUCACUUCCAUCAUCUCUUCCAUCUCUAAAGCCUAGAUAAUUUGUCUCCCAAGCCUUCUACCUCUUGACUUUGCCUACAUUGCUCCAUUUCCUCCAGCAGCCCUGCUCCACCCCCACCUACUCUCCCCUGGAAGAACUCAAAAACCAAUCGGCAGAUCUCCUUGCUGCCUUUGUUGGCCCUACAAUUCUUUCUCCACACAGCACCUCGCAUGGUCUUUCUAUAGUGUACAUCUGACCAAGUCACUCCUUUGCUUAAAAUUCUCUGGGGGCUUUUACUUUCCUUUAGAUAAAGGCAAACAUCCUUUCCAAGGUCUGUAAGACCCUACUGACUCCUGUGGCCCCAUCUCUUACCACUCUCAAUUGCACACUUUGGGACCAAUUUUCUUCUUCAUUUAAUUUUUUUUUAUAACCAAACACAUUUUUUUUUUAAACCUUCAGGUCUUUGAAUAAGAUGUGCCUUCUACCAGGAUCAUAUUCUAUGCUCCCCAUCAUCUAUCUUCCAAUGCCUUUGCUUGGUUGACUCCCCAUGUGUAGAUUGCAGAAGUCCCUUCGCCAGGGCAAUGGAGGACCCAGGCCCUUGCAGAUCUGUGUUGGGCUGCAUUAGGUUGCGUUAGGCUGACUGCAUGGAGGACCUACCUGCGUCCAAGUGCCCACAUUACUGUGUGUAAUAAUGUGUUUAUUGUGAGACUCCCUACAGGGACAGUGAUCAUGACUGUCUGACCCAUUUCUAUGUUCCCAGUGCCCAGCACUGUGCCUGCCAUAUAGUUGAUGCUUAAUAUAUGUUUCUUGAAUUGCAUUAACGAGGUGCUAUGAUGGACAGAGUACAGUGGAGUGCAAAACGCAAAGUGAUUGUUUCCCCAGAGCAAUGGUGAGGAGGGCUGUAAGGAAGGACUUCAGAGAGGUGGAGGUUUGGAGUGGUGUCUUGAGAGAAAUGGGCAUGGGGAUGACUGGGUGCAAAUCAUAAGGGCACCUCUAGAACAUCAAUUCCUCAGCAGAGUGAGGGGAGUCAGGUGGAGGCAUGAGGCGACAAAAUCAGCACUAAUGAUUCAGGGACAGGCUGGGAUGGGGGGCAGGAGUGGGGAGGAACCAUGUGGGGGUUAUCCUAGACCUAGGAACCAGGGAUGGCAUGCCAAGGUGAGCUGCUGUGCCUCCCUCGCUUCUCCCCAUAGCUUGAUUUUGGGAUGCCUGCUGCCCUCACCUGGGCCACCCCUUGAGAGAUGCUCUAGGGUUGUCUACAUCAAAGGGAGCCUAAAUUCACUUCUUUGAGCCAGUUUCCAGGAGAGUACUGGCUUCCCUUGAGGCAGCUUGCUUCCCUCUGAUGAGGAAAGAAGUAUAGCCCAGGAUGCCACAGCCUGUCACAUUUCUGUGGCCGUGAUGUUGCAGUUUACAAAGUGACUUCAAAUGGCAGACUGAUGAGAUCCCUAUAGCUAGGUAGACCUGGGAGGAUCUGGCACACUUCCUUUUGGUCUGGGCUGACCCCUUUUCCUGGGAUGCUGUUCUGGCUGCUAUUGCUGUGUCCUACCCAAAUACUUACUGGUGUAAAACAACAACCAUUUUAUUCUGCACACAGAUUUUGUGGGUUAGGCAUUAGGAACGGGCAUAGCAAGGAUGGCUUUUCUCUGCUCUGUGCUCUCUGGGGCCUCAGUUGGGAUGACUAGAAUGGCAGGGGCUGGGGAAUCUAUUAGUACUCCCAAGAUGGCUUCUGCACUCCGCGGUCCAGUUCCUGGGCUGGGAUGGCUGAUGGCUGGGCUCUCAUGGAACUGUCAUUGAGAGCACCUACAUAUGGCCUGUAGUAUUGCGGUCUUAAUUUCUUACUUUGGCACACUUAUAUUGUGAUUUUAAUUAAUUCCUUCCCUUCCACUAACUCAUUAUAUGGCCCUAGUCAAGUUACUUAAUCUCUUUUGCGGCUUCAGUUCCUCAUCUAUGAAAUGGGGAUUAUGACAGUGGCUAUCUCAUACCACCUUGGUGAGCAUUAAGUGAGAAUUUGUAUGUGAAGUGCACAGAAGGAACUCUCAGUGCAUGUUAACGUUAUCGCUGCUUCCUCGUAUUUAACAUGUGGAAGUAGAUGACUCCAGGUUUCUUUAAUCUCUAGGAUUUCCUUUUUUAUAGAGGCAAUGAUGGUCCAGACACACCAGGAGAUUUUUAUCGGACCACACGACUCGUAAGUCUCAAAACCAGGAUUGGAACCUGAAUAUCUCCCCAUGGAGUUUGUUAUUCUUUCCAUUGUACCACAUUGCCCCUUUGGUGGCCAUUUGCUUUGAAUCAGCUCAAUAAAAAUGUUGGCUGUGUAUUAGUCAGCUUGGGCUGCCAUAACAGAAUACCAUAGGCUGGAUAGUUUAAACAACAAAAAUUUAUUUUCUCACAGUCCUAGAGUCUGGAAGUCUGAGAUUGGAGUCAUUGGGUUCUGGUGAGGGCUCUCUUCCUGGCUUGCAGACUUCUUGCCAUGUGCUCACCUGGCCUUUUCUUGGUGUGCACACUCAGAGAGAGACAGAACCAGCUCUCUGGUAUCUCUUCUUAUAUGGACAAUAAUCCUGUCAGGUCAGGGCUCUAUUCUUAUGACCUCAUUUAACCUUAAUUACCUUCCAAAGGCCCUAUCUCCAAUAUAGCCACUUUGGGGAUUAGGGAUUCGACAUACGAAUUCUGGGGGGAAGGGGGUACACAAUUUAGUCCAUAGAGGGUUGGUUGCUGGGAUGCACCAUAACUAGAGUGGAGCACUAUCUCUACUGAUCUGUUUACUAGUUUCACCAGUUUAUUGUCCAUCCAGUCAUUUAAUUAUUACCCUCGUGGCCAUUUGUCUUCUGGAGGUGCCAACAUCAACAGCAAAAUAUACCUAAGAUAUUGUACUACAGCAAAGCUGGCAGUAUUUAAAAGUGAUUAUAUCCUUGAGUCUGAAGUUUGUUUGGGUUCAAUCUCAGUUCUGUGACGGGCUUUAUGUCUUUGGAUGGCUCACUUAACCUCCUUAUGCCUCUGUGUCUUCAUCUAUAAAAUGGGUAUAAUAAUAGCCUCUGCUUCACAGGGUUUCUGUAGGAUUAAAUGUGAUAAUAUGGCAAAAAUUUUAGCUUAGUAUCAUUAUCGUCCUCACCCCAUCUCCAACCCCAUCAUCGUUACCAUUAUCAUCAUCAUCAUUUCUCUCAACUACAUUAAAAAAAGAAUGGAAGCUAGUAUUUACUGAGAACAUAUUGUAUGCUAGGCAAUUUCAUAAAUGUUACCUCAUUUGAUUCUUUCUAGGUAGACAUUUGCAGUCCCUCUCUCUCUUUCUCUCUCUUUAUAUUACUAUAUAAAGUAACUAAAGCUAAGAGAGUAGAAUUGUCCAAAACGAUGAAUACACAGCUAGUUAGCAGCUAAGACAUAACUAUGAAUCUCAGUCUAUCUUACUCCAAAGCCUGGUUGAUGGAGGAGAAAAUGAGAAAAUGAAGAAGUAUUGGGGAGGAUGUUAUAAGGAGAGAACAUGCCUACAAACAAAUUUUAUUUUUGUCAAUUUUUUCUAAUAUAGUUUAUUAUCAUUUUCUGAAGGAAAUUUCAAUUUUCUCUUCAGUUUUGCUUCUUUUUUGUUCAAGUUUUAUAUGCACUUAAAGGGUCAGAAGUUCCACAGGAUUUGUUACAAACCCCUCCAGCAAUUUCUCCCACAUUUCACCUUCCCUAGAGGCAACCACCUUCCCCACCUUUGGCAGAUUUUGAUAUUUACCUCUGUGUUUCAACAAAACAUGUUUGCAAUAGUACUUGUUGUUUCUUCAAGUCUAGGUAUUACACCUUGAUUUCCCACCAUGGAAGAUGAGGAUUUAGCUUUCUUUCCUUUACCUGUCCUACCACACUUCUACAUCCUUCUCACUUACCCCAUCCUCCCAGUAUAGAUAUAUCAUAAUUUUAUAUUGUAAUUUGCUAAGACCAAUUCUUAACACUUAUAUUGUUAUUGCUGUGUAAACACUCUUCACAGCUGAGCAAGGUAGUAAACUAUUAUUACUUUUCUUUUCCCAUGCAACUUUUAAUUUCCUUGAAGCUAGUAUUUGUCUGUUUGGUUUUUGAAGCUUGCUUUGCUAUUGUUAAUCAUUAGUUUAACCCCAAACUCCUUGCUUGUUACCUAAUUCACCUAUCCAGGCACUCAAACACAUCAGAUAUUCUGUCAAUCUCUUCUUCUGGAUAAGUCCCUCCCAGUGGCUGUGGCUUGCUCCAAUCUGGCCUGGUUGCCUUCUAAGCCUGAUGCACAGCUGUUGACCUGGGGCCUCCUUCCCCUAUCCCACCGGAAAUUCUCUGUCCUUCACUCCUGAGUUAUAUUUCUUAUUUUCUGAAUCUCAUUUUCCUCUUUCUUGUUUUACAAACUCAUUUUGGUGGAGCACCUUCUGUAAUUGUGUCUUAAGAGGAGGUACCUGAGAGGAAAAAUAUUUAAAGACUUCUCAUGUCUGAAAUAUCCUUAUCUUAUUCUCACACUUGAUGAAUAUUUGGCUUGCAGUAGAUUCUUUUUUUGUUUAGAAUUCAUUUUUCUUCAUAAUUUCAAAGCCAUUAUUUGGUAACCAGCUUCCAAAAUAGCCCCCAAUGCUUCUCUUCUCUGAUAUUCAUGCCCUAUAGAGUCCCCUCCUGCAUUUAAUAGGCAUGACCUGUGUUAUCAAUGGAAUAGUGUAGAAAUAAUGGCCACAAAAGACAUUGUGGCUUCUGACACUAUGGCUUGUUUUCCUAGGAUUACUGUUUCUCAGAGAAGCCUGCUGCCAUGUCAUGAGGACACUUGGCAGCCUUUUGGAGAGGUUCACAUGGUGAGAAACUGAGGUAUCCAGCCACAGCCAAUAUCAACUUGCUGGCCUUGCGAGUGAGGCAACUUGGAAAUGGAUUCAUCAGGCCCAGUCAAGCCUUCGAUGGCUGCAACUCUGGCUGACAUUUCAAUUAUAACCUUAAGGAAGACUCUGAGCCAGAACCAAAGAAACUGUAUGAGAUACAUUCUUAAAAAAAUUACUUUAAGCUGCUAAGUUUCAGGUUAAUUUGUUAUGUGGCAAUAGAUAACCAAUACCUACUGUGCCAUUGUCUUCUAGUUGAGAAGUCUGAAGCAUUUCUGAUUUUCAACUCUUUAUUCGAUCUCUUUUGUUUUGUAUUUUUCUCUAGAAGCUUGCAGGAUCUUCCCUUUGUAGCCAGGGUUUGCACAUUUUCCUAACAUUUCAUUAUAAUAUGCCUAGUGUGAGAACAUGUUCAUCCUCUCUAUCAAACCCUUUCAUUGGAAAUUUAUAUUCUUCAGUUCUGGGAAGUUGUCUUGAGUAAUUUUGGUGACUUUCUCCUUCCAUUGUCUCUGCUCUCUCUUUCUAGAACUCCCGUCAUUUGGAUGCUGGUCAUCUUUGACUGGUUCUCUAAUUUUCUCAUCAUUCCUUUUCUAUUUCCACAUCUUUGUCUUUUUUCUCUGUCUUCUGGAGAGUGUAUUUAUAUUUGGAUCCUUCUUUUGAGUUUUUAUUUAAACUCUGCUGCAUUCAGAAUUUCUAAGGCAUCUUUUUAUGUGUGCUGAAUGUUCUUUUUUAUAUUAUUUUACAUUUAUUUCAUGAAAUCUCUUUUGUUAUCUCUCUGAAGAUAUGUGCGUUUGCAUAUACAUAUGUAACAGCUUUAUUGAGAUAUACUUCAUGCAGCAUGGAAUUUACCCAUGUAAAUAUGCAGUUCAGUGGUUUUUAGUAUAAUCACAGAGUUGUGUAAUCAUCACCACAAUCAAUUUGGAAUAUUUUUGUCACCCCAAAAAGGAAUUUUGUACCCUUUAGCUGUCACUCCUCAAUUUCCUCCUCUCCACCCCUGUCUAGGCAACCACCAAUCUUCUUCCUAUCUUUGCCUGUUCUAGACAUUUCAUAUGCAUGGAAUGACAUUUCUUCAUUUCUUAAAUAGCAUAGUUCUGUUUUUCCUAGUUGCUCCCCGCCCUGCAGUCAUUUCCUUUGAUCUUCCAGGUCAGGGGCCUUCCUCAGAUGUCUGUUAAUCCUUGGAAGUUUGUUCUGAUUGAAAAAGGAAGGAUAAACCAGCUGACUGUCAUGGGUGGGGCUUGCUGACUCUGAGCUUCCCCACAGGGUGACCUGUUGCUUAUUUGGUGGAGCAUUGUCUGAGGUCAUCAUUUUAAAAUCUCUUUAGGAUGGUUGGAUUCUUAGAUAAGAUUAUUUUAGUCUCCUGCUUGUAGGUAAAAUUUUGGCUGUCAAUGCUUUGAGAAUUGACUGAGAGAAAAUCACAGGGAGAUGUCAACAUUUAAUGCGUGAAUGUUCACUUGAUUCCAUGUUCCAUAAGGAACCCUGCUCUCAACAGUGCCUGGUCCUUUGCCUUAAACUCCCUGGAGAAAAAUUCUCCACUCAUCUGCUGAGAGGAGGGAGGGGCAAUUGCUUCCCUGUGAAAGAGUUGGGGAGAACAUCUAGUGAUCUGACUGCUUUUAAACAUAUUUUACACCAAUUUUGUUUAUAUUUAUGCAUCAAACAUUUAUAUAACCACUACUGUGUGCCAGGUACUUUUCUAAACUGUUGAUAGAUUCUCCUUCUUUGAGAAUGUCUCCCACUCCCUAUUUGUAGUGCUCCCCGAUGCCUCUAAUUCCUAAGCCUUUCAGAAAUUCCAGUGAAUCAAGUUGUUUCUCAGCUCUCCCACUGCUGGGUUAGGAUCCGGUUAUUUCAUGUAUGUCAGUUUGGGCCCUUCAAGAAGUAGACACCAACGUGGACUUAAAUGCACAAAAGCUUUAUUGGGAAAAACACUUGUGAAGGAAAAAUGGGGAGAAAGCUGGAGGAGGCUGGGAGAGCUGUCAGACUAUGAUGCAUGUCUAACAUUUUGGAGGAGAGAGGGAAGGGAGGAAGAUUGGGUAGAAAAAACUAUUAGAAUGCUGCGCUGUUCCAAGAAAGUUUCAGCAAAGCUGAUGAGGCAUUCUCCAGCUAAAAUCAUCUGUCAAAGGAUUCUCAUGUCUCCCGACAACGGACCUGCCUUACUAUCUCAGCUGUGCUCAGCCAGAGGCUGGGAGUGAAUGUGGUGGUGGAUUCAGAGCAUAGCACCUGGGGCAGUUGAUCAAUUACACUGAAGUUGGAGAUCUGAAAGGCACGUUCUUGUGGUUUCUGCAUAGCCAUGUCAGGUGUGCUAAUUCCUCCCCAAACUUCCAGUGAAACAACAGCAAAGGGAUUUUCUUAAAGGGCAUAAGCCACAAAGACGAGGAGAAUAGGAAAGGCAAUAGCGACAAAAUUUUGGAAGCUGGAUAUAUAUUUUCAGUCCAUCAUGCCUACCCAGACCUCCUUUGAGAUAUUUAUUUUUAGUCCUUCUUGUUCUUCAAUGGAUGCUUUCAAGAAUACAAAUUUUCCUCUGAGUACUGCUUUGGCUUCACCAUCACAAUAAGCAUGGCAAAUAUGUAAUCCUUUCAUUUCAUGACAUGUACAGCUACUUAGUGACAGUGGUAUGGAAUAGCCUACAUAACCCGAAGCUUUUAUGUCUGGUUAUGGUGUUGUAUAAAUUAAUGACAAGGGCUAUAGUACAUCUGCUCAGAAUGGCUGACCAGAACAAAUGGUCAUUUCAUUUCAGUUCGACAAAUAUUCACCGGGCCUUACCAAGUGCCUGUCUCAUGUUAGGAGCUGGAAACAUAGAAUGAACCAGAGAGAUGUACCUUGACUUUAAUCACAUAAUACACUAAGUGCUAUGAUGGAGGUAGUACAAGGUACUGUAGCAGAAUACACAGUGGGCCCCUGGGGUUCAUGGAAGACUUAGAGGAGAUAGUGGAGUCCUAGUGGACAACUAGGAAUAGGCCAGGAGAUGUGGGGUAAAGUGUUUCAAAUAGAGGAAACAGUGAAUGAAAAGGCAAGAUGUGAAAUGUCAGAUUGUAUUCUGGAAGCUCUGAGUUGUUCAGUAUUAUUGGCACAUAGAGUCAAGUAAUAGAGGGGUGAGACAUGUGGCAGGCCUGACGGUAAGGCCCACAGAUGAUUUAAGGAGCUGGGACUUGUUCUGAAGGCAACAACUUAGACAUCCAUUUCUGGUAGUUUGGGUAGUUCCCCAAGGCUGCCAUUAGUCCUCUUCCCAGUACCCCAGGUCCUUCUUGAGAUUUUGCAGGUGCUGGGGGUGCAGGGCUUGGGUGGCCAUGGACACCUUCCUACGAGGGUACUCUGUUAACAUUUCACCCUGCUAGAUGAAGCUUGUGCCAUCUUGUCCUGAUUCCCCUUCCCAAUUGUAUAGCCCAGCAAUACCAUCCUCUGACUGGCAUCACUUCUUUCUGAAGUCCCACAUCUAUGGCUGCUUAAUUGUGCUCCACACUCUACUUUGCAGGAAGCAGGAAGCUGGGGACCCCCUGCAGACCCCAGACUCUGCCGUCUGGCUUUGAAGGGAAAACAUUUGCUCAGAUUUUCCCAACUACCCCAGGAAUCACCUGCUUAGGAGAAGGGUAUUGGGGAGGGAGGCGUGAUGAGAGUCAGAUGGAUCUGGUGCUAAUGCUGGUUGAGGUGCUUACCUGCUGGGUGACCUUAGGCAAAUGCUCUCUUUAACAAGCAAGCAUUGGACAAUGCCCUCUCUGUGCACAGCCAUAUGCUGGGCUCUGAUGGGACAAGACACUGUAGGGGAGAAAGACAGAAAAGAGGAGGACUUAGGAUCUGUGUAAACCCAGGGAGACUUAAGCCCUCGUGACACAUUAUUAAUAAGUAUACAUUAUUAUGGCUCUUCAGUGGAAGAAGUUGGGGCUUAAAGAGAUUACAUGGCUUGCCCAAAGUCUCUGUAGCCAUACUCCCCUGUACUGUAACCACUGUUCCCAAGGUCUGCCCAAUAAUGUGAUAGCAGCAACAGCACACAGACCCACUCCCUCUGGUCAUUGCCAGCUUCCUCCUGCCUGUAGAAGGACCAGAAGUACUGGUGAACCUGUGGAGAUGAAGAAUGCCCCAGGCCUUCAGAUGGAUCCACCUAGAGAGUGCAAGGAGGCUGGCUUGGUAGCCUGAGAUCAUUCCAACCCCUUUUCUUUCUUCACCUGCAGGACAGGAACUCCCAUGUAGGUUGGGUGGUACCCACAGUCAAGGUCUUUGGGAGGGCCACUGGAGCCUCUCUUCUCAGCAAAUCUGAACAGUGGGGCUGGGCAUGUGUGCUAGGCUGUCAGGAAGAGUUAUAUCCAGACAGCCCCUCGGCCUGCCUGCUUUCUCCUCCACAGUCCCCUCCUAAUUCAUUUUCCGCCUUUAAUGUACUGUUGUGGAGCUUCCUCUCCCAUUAGGGCCUGUAAUGUGCACCGAUUCCCUUCAGCUUGACUGCCUUUAAUAGGCAGCGUAAAUAGAAUUUAGUGUGGCAUGCACUAACAUCUCUAUCCAUUGUCCAGAGAUUAAAUACUUGCCACCGAUGGUUCAUGCAUCAUCAGCCUCGAGCCCAGCUUCAUAGCUCCCAACCAAAGGAGGAUAUUAAAUUAAUUUGCAGGUUGCUUUAGCAAAACCUAACAAAAAAACCUCCACAGGAGGAGAGGGGAGGGGGCAGGAUGCAUCUGCUCACCAUCAAUCAUGGGGUGGGAGUGGGAGUUGUUAGGAACCAGGAAUGGGGCUCUUGUCCAUCUCAGGCUGGGUCCUUCUUGGGGGCCACACUGCUUGGCCAUCUACUUCCAUCUUAGUCCCCAGGCUUUGGCCCAUGGGCAGCUCUUCUCUCAGCUUUGGAAUCAGCUUUCUGUUCUGACAAGUAGAGUGAGUGAUGGAGAAGAGGGUGUGGGGACUGUAGGGCUUGAGUCCAGACCACAGGGGUGACUUCUUCCUUUUUAGGGGUGUAGCCAAAGGACAACAGGUAAAAUGCCCCUGUGGUCCCAGUUAGGGAGGCCUCUGAAACCUCCCUUUGAACCAUUAGGGUCCCUUUGGUGUCCCUUCUUGUUGGGGCCCCAGCUGGGUGGGUGUGGGAGACAGGGGGUGAGGGUCGGUGUAGGCCUUGCCUCUGGGAUCCAGCGGGGGAAUUUACUGCCCUUUUUGUAUCAGAUGGUGUGGUCUGUGUCGUUCACUACAGUCAUGUGGGGAAGAUCUGCAAAUGGACAAUGAAGAUCCAGGUACAAGGGGCUUUGGAAGCCCAGAUAGCAGCUUGUGCCGACUUAGGGGAUCACAGUGGUCAUGGGGGAGCAGGUCAUCUCUUGAGUUGGACCUUCAAUGAUAAGCAGGAGUUAGCUGUCGGGGUGGAGGGGACAGGGUUGUUCCAAGCGAAGGGCUUGGAGGUGUCUCCACGCACGGCAUUGUCAGAGAACACAGGGAGUGCAGUGACUGGAAGGCAUGGUGAGCAUGGGGAGAGACUAGAGGUGAGGCUGGGAGGGGAACUUUAUGUGGAGACACUGGAGAACCAUGGGAGGUGUUCAGCAGGAGCAGGAGAGGCUCAGGGCCAGGGCUGUGCUCUGUAGAGACCAUUCUGAGACAAGGAAACAUGGAGAGCCCUUGCCUGAGUCAGGGAAGACGGGGCUCAGACUGUGAUACCAGUGGAGACCAGAGAACGUUAGUACCAAUCCUGGCCUGAAAGUCUCUGGGACAAAGGAUAAAAAGAUCCCAUCCCUUAUCUUAGUUCUGGCAUAGCUGGGAACAAUAAAACUGAGUCUUUGUGCUCAGAUGUGCUUUGAGAAGAAAUGUUGAAUCCAGGUCCCUGUCCCGCGGGCCCUAUCUGCCCAGAAGCAAGGCUCUGGACGAAAGGAGGCAGGUAGGAAGAGUUUGGCUCACUUGAGCAUAGUUGGAAUCUGGCCUCUCCUUUCCAUUGAGUGGGUGGUUUGGGGGCUGGCCUUUGGACAGCAAAUGGACCAAAGGGAGUCCAUUUGUCCAUUUGCUGGGAGUUCCUCUCCUACCAGGUUUAGGCGGGCAUGGUGGAUACAGGACAAGCAUGCCACCACCUUCUAAGUCAUUGCCCUGGCAGACAUCACUAAUCAAUCAAGCCACAUUUCCCCAUGAGGGGCAAAAUCACUAGGAUCCUUUUCAGCACAGACUGUGUAGGACCACCAAGGAUGACCUGAGCCUGAUAAAACUGAUAGAAUCAGCCAAUUAUUUAACUUCCAACCAGGGUCUUGUGUCUUUGCAGACCUGAGCAGGCAUGGUGCUCAGAUCUUAGCAGAUUUUUCCAGUCUGUGGUUCUGCCUUUCCCUACAUCGUGGGAAUGUAGUGGGUCUCAUGGCAGAGGCUUUUGAGGCAAAGUGGGUGAGGAGAGACCUCAGCAGUGCGUAAGACUCCAUUGUGGGCUGCCAAUUCCUCCCUGAUGAACUCCUCCACCAGUGACCUCCACUUGCGGUGGUUUAUUAAUAGCUUUUAACAUGAUCAUUUGGACUAAUUGAAAAUGGGAGCAGCGCUAAUAUGCCCCUUACAUUUCAUUUCUUUUUUAUUUAAAAAAGAUGCUAAAAGCAUUUAUCGAGUAGUUUCUGGGGAAACCUAAUAAAAAGGUCUCCCCUCUUGCCAUUGCAAUGGUGUGGUCUCCUGCCAGCACCCCAUGCAGGGGGUUCUCGUGGUUCAUUAGUGUGAUUUAAGGUGUCCAAGUGGCCCUGUUAUAAAGCCAUCACUGGGAGCUGCUCCAAGACAUCUCUCACUCAUGGCAAGCUCCACCUGGUACUGAAGGUGGAGAAUGGAUAGGACAGGAUGAGAAUUUUUGGCUGGCAUCCUUUCACCAUACCCAGUCUGUGGACUGUAGUGUGGGCACUGCUAUGGGAAUAAAUGGAUUAUCUCCCACCUCCCACCCCACUGUUCUUCUGUCUUAUUGGCUGGGAUUAAAAAUCAUGGAGGAGCAAGGUCUAAUUAGCCUCAUUUAGGAUUACUGCCCAUCUCUCAGUCAAAGAGGACAGAUGUGCUCCUCAUUCUUCAUUUUUCCUCCCCUUCUUCCUAGUUUGUUUCUCUGCCAUUCUCUGUACCCCAAAAGACUCACCCUUGGACUUGCCCUGUGGCUUCCCAUUGAGUUUGGCCAAUGAGAGGUAUUGGCAGGAGAUCAGAGGGUGGAAGAGGAGAGAGGUUGGGAUCUCUAUUCCCUACUCCCUUCCUGCUUGGUGUUACACUAGUUCUAGAGUCAUUGACCCCAUCUGACUCUGUGUCCCACUGGACAGGCUCUCUCCAUAGUUGCAUUUCUCCCUUCAGACCUAAGGUUGGUGCUAUGGUUUGGCUGUGUCCCAUUCAAAUCUCAUCUUGAAUUGCAGCUCCUGUAAUUUCUAUGUAUCAUGGGAAGUACCUGGUGGGAGGUAAUUGAAUCAUGGGGGUGGGUUUUUCCCUUGCUAUUCUCUUGAUAGUGAAUAAGUCUCAUGAGAUCUGAUGGUUUUAUAAAAGGGUGGUUUCCCUGUACAUGCUCUCUUUCCUGCCACCAUGUAAGAUGUGCCUUUGCUCCUCUUUUGCCUUCUGCCAUGAUUGUCUUGGGCAUUUCUUCAUAGCAGUAUGAAAAUGGACUAAUACAGGUGGUAACUUCUUGCCACUAGGGCUAGUUUUGGGCCAGUGUUUGUUUCCUUAACACUGUCUGCACCUCUGCAAAUAGUCCCUUCAUUAAAGACUUCUUGGCCUUUGAUUUCACUUCUUACACACUUCCCUGAAAGGCAAUCCUUUGAUGUCAUUAUUCAAAGAAAGGAGAAUGGAUGCUGGAUGGCCCCCAAAGUUUCAACUGUUCUUUAGAUUCUCGCCUUACUCUUGGCCACAGGCUGAGCCACAGAUAUCUGGCCUCUCCUUUCCAUUGAGUGGGUGGUUUGGGGGCUGGUCUUUGGCACACUCUGCUUCUGGCCAAUGAGUAAAGGCUCUGCUUAUCUGAGUCCCCAUUCCACUCUUGGUUCUCUGGCCCUAUCCCUAGCAUGGGAUCUUGUGCCUGUGGUCCCAGCCAGAGGUGACCCUAGGUCCCUAUCAGCUCCUCCAAAACCACUUCACAAAACCUUCACCUCCAUAUAUGGCUCCUUCUUAGAACUUUUCUGAGAAGGACUGAUCUAGUCUGUACUCCAUUGAGCUUACCGUACUAGAUGCCAGAAGCUGUUUCCAAAGGCACAUCACCUCUCAAAGGAUCAAUGUUUGCCCUUGACAAGGCCUCCUGUAAAACUCCGAAGGCCACUGGCAGCACUGUCAGAAUAAAUUCAGGGCUUUGCAAGGGGAUCCCUUUGAGGCCAACUGGGCUAUGGAUGAGCUUGUGGCUAUUAACCAAGUAGCCACAGCUCAGGUUGUGCCUGAAAGUGUGUGUGCUCUUGAUAAGAGCUCUUGAAGGGAGGGGAGAGGUUACCGAAGGAAAGCUCUCUGGACUCAUUCAGAUCUUCCAGGGGAAGAAAGUCUCUAGGACCCACAUCCAGUUCUCACCUUGUCCUGGUUGGAGGAGGCAGCUGGUGACAAGCUGAGGAACUUCUAGAAGCAGCCAGAUGCUGGGUCAAGCCAAGCACUUGCUCUGUGCUGUACCAGACUCUGGAGGUAAAUAUGGACUUGGACUUGGAUACUGGCUAUUUCUAACCUGGCAGUGACUUUGAGGCCUUCUUGGGUCCUCAGUAUCUUCAUCUGUAAUAGAUGUAAUAGAACAAAUGUUCUCUAUGAGUCCUGAGAUUCUGUAACCUAAGUUUCUCAAUCUUGGCACUGUUGGCAUUUCAGGCGGGAUAAUUCCUUGUGGAGGACUGUCCUGUACAUGGUAGGAUGUUUAGCAGCAUCCUUGGCCUCUAUCCAUUAGAUGCCAGUAGCAUCUUCUCUCCCCAGUUUUGAUAAUAAAAAAUGUCUCUAGACCUUGCCAAAUGUCUUCCAGGGAGCAAAACUGCCCUAGUUGAGAACUACUGAUUUAAAAUAAUGGUUAAGAAUCACCAUGUGGCUGGCCAGGCCUUUCACAAGACUCUCUUAGACUCCAGCUUGGUCAUAGGCAUUAUGAUCCUCAUUCUGAGGCUGGGGGCAUGGGCCUGCACUAUCCUAGCUCCAUAAGGUAGUGGCAUCUUAUCUUCCAAGCCUUUCCUGCUCCAGGGAUUGGGCUCUCAUUUAUUCAAUGAUCCGAUAAGGUCUGAACCUGACAGCUGGAAGCCCAGCCCUUUGGAGUGAGUCCCAAGGAGUCUAGGGACAAAGCCUGUGUGAAGAGGGUUCCAAGGGAGUGUGGGGAGAAGAAACUGGGCUUUAGGUGACCAGGAGUGGUCACCUCUUGGUGUGCUCUUGGGUGAGUUACUGAACUCUUUGUGUCUGAGUUUCUCAUCUUCUCAAUGGGGGUGAUAAUGGUAACCUCUCUCAUAGGAUUCUUAGAUCAGUCAGGAUUUUGGCAGGAAACAAAUGGCACAUCCAAAAGGAUUUCUCUAAAAAGAACAUUAUAAAGGAACAAUUUUCAAAUUAAGGAAAAUUAAGGAAAUAGAAAGGGAUGGUGAGGCAUACCUCGGUUAGCAAGAGCAGAAAAUGAUGACCCCCUCCUCCUACUAGACUGAAGGGGCAAGGGAAGGAAAGGUUGUUUCAGGAGGCCUAUGAGAGUGGAGUCUUGGAACCCCUCCUCCGUGCCCCAUUCAGAUAUGCAGCCACAGAGAAAUGCAGUCAUGGCUAGAGUCACAACUGGUGGGCUCCCAGAACCCAAACUACAGCUGGGGGGGAUGGAGUGGGGGGUGAUGCAGCAGGUAGAGGUCAGCUUCCCCUGCGCAGAACAUGGAACACGGCAGAGAAGGUCAGAAACUAGAGCUGGGUGCAGGAUGGGAGUGGGGCAAGAGGAGAGCCACCAGCAGUUGUUAGGAAAACGAAUGAGUGGAUAUUUGUCAAAUCCUUAAAACAGUGCUCAGCAUGUAAUAAGUGCUUGCCAAAUGAAACCCUGUGCUAGACUCUGCGGGGUACAAGACAUAGUAAAUAAACUUCAGCAGCCCCUCCUGGGCCCAGGACAGGGCUCCCCUAUGGAGAGGUCCCAGGAUCUUCAGUUUGUGUCUGUGGAGGACUAGUUUGGGCUGACUGUGGUGUGGCCCCCCUUGGGAGACUUUUGCCUAAGCAGCCCCUGCCCACCACCUCACAGACACAUCCAGGGGAAGCCCACCCUGAGCCUCCCUACCCUGAGCCUCCCUACCCUGGCCUGACAUCGCCGUCUGGCUUCAGCCAUGGCAUUCCCUUGACUCCCCUGGCUUCACGUCUCAUGCCCUUUGGCUAUGACUAAUCUGGAACCAGAGGCUGGGAGGCCUGGAAAGCCCUGCCUAGGGGGAAGUAGGGGGCAGCUUUUGUCUUCCCCUGAGACCCCUCAGCACUGAAGUUUUCAUAGUUCAUGGAACGGAUCUUCCUUUGCUUUUGUGGGUCCCUUCUGUGUAGGCAUGCAGAUAUAUAGGAUGGUGAGCCCCAAAGGGGCUCUGUGGGGCCUGUGCUCCUAGCUGCCUUUAGGGAUGCUCCAUUAAGGGACUCAAGGCCAGAAGAGUUUGCCAUAGAGGUGGCGAGAGGCAGAGGGGGACAAGGAGGCAACAUUUCAUGAACUUCCACGCUUCCUCUGUCAUGGCUCUCAUUGCCACGCUGGCCUGCAGGUGGAAGCUGGGCUCCUCCCAGUCCCAGGGACCAACUAUCUGAAGGGAUCUGGGGGUGCAGUGAGCUGGGCCAGAGUCCUUUUCCACUUGGCUCUGAUGGAGGAUUUGCGGGGUAGGGAGUGGGCCUGGGCUGAGCUCCUAGGGCUGGCACAAGAAGGGAGAGAUUACUAGUCCUUUCUCCAGCCCAUCCAUGGCUGGUUGCCCAUGUCCAGGGGGUUCAAGGGAGCCCUGAGUACUCUCCCAGCUCCAGCGUGUACAGACACUCCACUUAGGUUUGCUAGAGAAAAUAUACAAUGCCCAGUUAAUUUGGAUUUCAGAUGAAUCAUUGUUUAGCAUAAGUAUGUCUCAAAGAUUGCAUGGAACAUACACUAAACAGUAAUUUGUUAUUUAUCUGAAAUACAAAUUUAACUGGACACCCUGUAUUUUUUUUUCCUUUUUUUCUUUAUCCGGCAACCCUGUCCAGUGCCAUCUCCAGCCUCCACCUCCUCCCUCCAUGGGCCCCCAGAAGUAGGGGUUUUACUGCAUCUUGUUCCUUCGUGGUUCCCCCGUAAGUGAAAUCCAGGAUCCAAGCUUGAAGAGCUCUGAGAUGGGGCUGUUUCAGACCCAUGAAGCCCCCAGGGGAUGAGGGGCUGAGCCAUGGCUCCUAUUGGCCUUUGUUAGGGUUAGGGUGGUGAGGUUCAUGAGUGGGGGCUGGACAACGACUGUGAUAGCACAGCUGGCCCCCCACACUGCAGCUGGCCUCAGGGACCCAUGAUUUGAAUUGGGCAUGUGCAAACCCUGUGCUCAGCACGUGACUUGCUUUGUUCCAUUUCAUCCUCCCACACUGCAGCCCCAUGAGGCUGGGGUCCAUAGUAUCAUUUUGUAAAUGAGGACACCAAGGCACAGAGAGGUUAAGGGCUGGGCCAAGUCACACAGCUAAUCUAUGCUGGAGUUAGGGUUUGACCCCAGGGCAGAGCUCUCAGCUGCUGUCCCACACGCUUCCUCUCCUGGGUCCUGGCCUUUCCUAAGGGUGUCAUCAGGCCUGGGUCGC